rnacentral:lncRNA from 1 species
UUUGCCUCUCAAGUGUUGGGAUUAAAGGCAUGCACACCACUGCUCAGCUAACCUGGAAUAUUUCUUGAGACAACUUGGAAAGGAGCCAGAACCACAUUCAAUAACUCAACUGGAUAGUCAGCUCCAGCUUGGCUCACCUGAAACAAUCAUGAGGAAGUAGCUCUGGCAAGAGGCUGCCUGGGGCAAGAACUGUAGAAUGUUCCAAUUGUUCUCCACUUCCAGUCUUCCUGCUUUCCAGUGCUUCCCUUUUUGGCCAUCUGCAAGGAUGCCAUGGAGAACAAGGGUCUGCUGUCUUGGCCUAUUUCCUUGGUACUACUCUAGCACAAGGUGAUCAGCUUUAUAUCCAUUUCACAAACAUCACAGCCCUUCCCUCACAUGGCUCUUGGAUGCAGUCUCCAUUCACCCACAGGUAUUGUGCAUCACUAAAUUCACCUGCUAGCUCCCAGACCCUGCCUUUUCACAACUCUGCACUGGAAUCCCUCCCCUGACCUGAUACUGCCUUGUGGUGAGUUAGUCUUAGAGGGGGCAAGUAAAUGCCAGCAUUUCUAUUCUAAUGCUGAAUUCCAUUCUGUGCAAAAAGUGGGCACUGCUAGCUCUCUGUAAUCACCUGAAAUGACUGCCCCAACACCCAAUGUGCCUGGGCUGUUCCAGCUCCCGUGGUGUCUUGUUCUCUUGACAUGACUGGCAUUGCCAGUGUUUCCAUAACUCUUUCUCCAUGAGUUUUGCCAGGUUCUGCC